UACGGAGGAUGCAAGCGUUAUCCGGAAUUAUUGGGCGUAAAGCGUCCGUAGGUGGUUGAGUAAGUCUGCUGUUAAAGCGUGGAGCUUAACUCCAUAGCGGCAGUGGAAACUACUUGACUUGAGUGCGGUAGGGGUCAGGGGAAUUCCCAGUGUAGCGGUGAAAUGCGUAGAUAUUGGGAAGAACACCGGUGGCGAAAGCGGCUGACUGGGCCUGCACUGACACUGAGGGACGAAAGCUAGGGGAGCGAAAGGG
rnacentral:rRNA from 1 species